rnacentral:rRNA from 1 species
ACGUAGGGUGCAAGCGUUAAUCGGAAUUACUGGGCGUAAAGCGUGCGCAGGCGGUGAUGUAAGACAGUCGUGAAAUCCCCGGGCUCAACCUGGGAAUUGCGAUUGUGACUGCAUCGCUAGAGUGCGGCAGAGGGGGAUGGAAUUCCGCGUGUAGCAGUGAAAUGCGUAGAUAUGCGGAGGAACACCGAUGGCGAAGGCAAUCCCCUGGGCCUGCACUGACGCUCAUGCACGAAAGCGUGGGGAGCAAACAGGAUUAGAUACCCUGGUAGUCCACGCCCUAAACGAUGUCAACUGGUUGUUGGGUCUCUUCUGACUCAGUAACGAAGCUAACGCGUGAAGUUGACCGCCUGGGGAGUACGGCCGCAAGGUUG